rnacentral:rRNA from 1 species
UACAGAGGUCUCAAGCGUUGUUCGGAUUCAUUGGGCGUAAAGGGCGCGUAGGCGGCGGGGUAAGUCGGGUGUGAAAUCUCAGGGCUCAACCCUGAAACUGCACUCGAUACUGCUCUGCUUGAGGACUGGAGAGGAGACUGGAAUUCACGGUGUAGCAGUGAAAUGCGUAGAGAUCGUGAGGAAGAUCAGUGGCGAAGGCGGGUCUCUGGACAGUUCCUGACGCUGAGGCGCGAAGGCCAGGGGAGCAAACGGG